rnacentral:rRNA from 1 species
GGACGAACGCUGGCGGCGUGCCUAAAACAUGCAAGUCGAACGGAGGCUUCGGCCUUAGUGGCGAACGGCGGAGUAAUACAUAAGCAACGUGCCCUGAAGACCGGGAUAGUUACUGGAAACGGUGGGUAAUACCGGAUGUGGCUCUCGGAGGACAUCCUCUGAGAAUUAAAUGGUUUUUCGCUUCAGGAGCGGCUUGUGGCCUAUCAGCUAGUUGGUGGGGUAACGGCCUACCAAGGCGACGACGGGUAGGGGGUCUGAGAGGAUGAUCCCCCCGAGUGGGACUGAGACACGGCCCACACACCUACGGGUGGCAGCAGUUGGGAAUCUUGCACAAUGGGGGAAACCCUGAUGCAGCGACGCCGCGUGGAGGAUGGAGGAUCUAGGUCUGUAAACUCCUUUUGUCAGGAAAGACUUAGGACGGUACCUGACGAAUAAGCACCGGCUAACUACGUGCCAGCAGCCGCGGUAAGACGUAGGGUGCAAGCGUUGUCCGGAUUUACUGGGCGUAAAGAGCGCGUAGGCGGUCCGUUAAGUGUGAAGUGAAAUCUCCAGGGCUCAACCCGGAAACUGCUUCGCAUACUGGCGGACUAGAGGAAUGCAGAGGUAAGUGGAAUUCCCGGUGUAGCGGUGACAUGCAUUGAUAUCGGGAGGAACACCCAUGGCGAAGGCAGCUUACUGGGCAUUAUCUGACGCUGAGGCGCGAAAGCGUGGGGAGCAAACAGGAUUAGAUACCCUGGUAGUCCACGCCCUAAACGAUGGAUACUAGGCGUAAGAGGUAUCGACCCCUCUUGUGCCGCAGCUAACGCAUUAAGUAUCCCGCCUGGGGAGUACGGGCCGCAGGGUUGAAACUCAAUGAAUUGACGGGGACCCGCCACAGCGUGGAGCAUGUGGAUUAAUUCGAAUACUAACCGAA